CAACCCUCAAGCACUGCUUGGUAUUUGGGCCUCGCCGGCGACGGCGGGCCCUAAAGACAGUGGCGGCGCCGCUGGGCCCUGAGCGUAGUAAAUCUCUCGCUACAGGGUCCCCGCGCCGUCUCGCCAUCAACCCCCAAUUUUUCUAUGG
rnacentral:rRNA from 1 species